rnacentral:ncRNA from 1 species
AAAGACUUAGUCCUAACCUUACUGUUAGUUCGUGCUAGACAUAUACAUGCAAGUAUCCGCACCCCGGUGAAAAUGCCCUAACUUCUUACCAAGACAACAGGAGCUGGCAUCAGGCACGCCCAAGACCGCAGCCUAAGACGCCUUGCUUAGCCACACCCCCACGGGCACUCAGCAGUAAUUAACAUUAAGCAAUAAGUGAAAACUUGACUUAGCCAUAGCACCUACUAGGGCCGGUAAAUCUUGUGCCAGCUACCGCGGUCAUACAAGAGGCCCAAAUUAACUAGUAUUCGGCGUAAAGAGUGGAUACCCACUAUCCAAACAACUAGGGUUAAAACGCAACUAAGCUGUCACAAGCUAAAGAUGCACUUAAACUCAUCCCAAAGAUGACCCUAACUAUACGAUCGACUAACUUCCACGAAAGCCAGGGCACAAACUGGGAUUAGAUACCCCACUAUGCCUGGCCCUAAAUCUCAAUGCUUGACUAACUAAAGCAUUCGCCCGAGAACUACGAGCACAAACGCUUAAAACUCUAAGGACUUGGCGGUGCCUCAAACCCACCUAGAGGAGCCUGUUCUGUAAUCGAUAACCCACGUUACACCUCACCAUCCCUUGCCAAAACAGCCUACAUACCGCCCGUCGCCAGCUCACCUUCCCUGAAAGACUAACAGUGAGCGCAAUAGCUACACCCGCUAGCAAGACAGGUCGAGGUAUAGCUAAUGAGAUGGUAGAAAUGGGCUACAUUUUCUAAGAUAGAAAACCCAACGAAAGGGGGCAUGAAACCUUCCCCCAGAAGGCGGAUUUAGCAGUAAAACAGGAUAAUAAAGCCCAAUUUAAACUGGCCCUGAGGCACGUACAUACCGCCCGUCACCCUCCUCACAAGCUACAACCCUCCUAGAUAACUAACACACCCAAAAGCUGAAGAUGAGGUAAGUCGUAACAA